rnacentral:lncRNA from 12 species
GUUAUUAGCUCAGUAGGUUUCAAAGCCCAGUGUGCAGAAGAUCAUGGGGCUGGUACUGGAGGCCUGUGGUAAAAAUGCAGAUUCCUGGACUCCACUUACAGGCAUUCUGAUUCAGUAGAUCAGCUGAAGCCAGAAUUCUGUUUUCUUAACGAUCAAGGACAAGUGCACUAUUGCAGGUGGUCAUUAAACCUUUGAGGAGCCACCUUUCAGGAACUGUGGGAGCAGCACCAAAAAGAAAAGGGGGUACUGCAAGAGAAGAAGCCAAAGUCCACCUCUGCCGACUUCCUGGCUGUACCACAGUAGCCUCAGGCUGGCAGUCCUGACCCCAGAAUCCAUGCCCUCAAGCACUUCCAUCCUAACAGUCCCGGUGCGCUGAACCUUCACAAAGUGCUGCUGUGAGCACACCACACCACCACGGACAGAGAAAGGGUCCUGGACAGGGUGCUCCCUUGACAGGAAGUCUUCUCAGCCAUCGCUGCCACAUGGGUCUCUAAACUUCCUUUCUCUUAUGACUGACAUCCCUUCUCCAUCAGAUUCCCCAGAUCUGGCCCAGACCCUGCCUAGUCAGGUAAGAAUGGAGCUAUUGUAGGAUCAGGUCCACCUUAAAAUCAUAGAAAAGUACAGGAGGAACAAAAGCAGAAUGCUACCUAAUGUCAUUGUUCCCUUGUACCAAAACAGAGGCUUUGCUAGACUUAGGUCUUUGCAACAAGAGUGCCCCCUGGAAAUUCUCUCUUCCUCCUGAAUAGUUUCUUCUGAUUUCCCCCUCCCCAACUCUAGCCCAU